GUCCCUACGGGAGGCAGCAGUGAGGAAUAUUGGUCAAUGGGCGGAAGCCUGAACCAGCCAAGUCGCGUGAGGGAAUAAGGCCCUACGGGUCGUAAACCUCUUUUGCCGGGGAGCAAGGGCGGGGACGUGUCCCGGCCCGGAGAGUACCCGGAGAAAAAGCAUCGGCUAACUCCGUGCCAGCAGCCGCGGUAAUACGGAGGAUGCGAGCGUUAUCCGGAUUUAUUGGGUUUAAAGGGUGCGUAGGCGGCCUGCUAAGUCUGGAGUGAAAGGUACCGGCUCAACCGGUACAGGCUCUGGAAACUGGG
rnacentral:rRNA from 1 species